rnacentral:rRNA from 1 species
CAGACGGGGGGCUGGGGUGGGGAAUAUUGGACAAUGGGGGGAACCCUGAUCCAGCCAUGCCGCGUGUGUGAAGAAGGCCCUCGGGUUGUAAAGCACUUUCAGUGAGGAAGAACGCCUGGUGGUUAAUACCCAUCAGGAAAGACAUCACUCACAGAAGAAGCACCGGCUAACUCCGUGCCAGCAGCCGCGGUAAUACGGAGGGUGCGAGCGUUAAUCGGAAUUACUGGGCGUAAAGCGCGCGUAGGUGGCUUGAUAAGCCGGUUGUGAAAGCCCCGGGCUCAACCUGGGAACGGCAUCCGGAACUGUCAAGCUAGAGUGCAGGAGAGGAAGGUAGAAUUCCCGGUGUAGCGGUGAAAUGCGUAGAGAUCGGGAGGAAUACCAGUGGCGAAGGCGGCCUUCUGGACUGACACUGACACUGAGGUGCGAAAGCGUGGGUAGCAAACAGGAUUAGAUACCCGAGUAGUC